AGCAGCGUGGCUCAGUGGAAAGAGCACGGGCCUGUGAGUCAGAGAUCAUGGGUUCGAAUCCCGGCUCUGCCA
rnacentral:tRNA from 1 species